rnacentral:rRNA from 1 species
GAUGAACGCUAGCUACAGGCUUAACACAUGCAAGUCGAGGGGUAACGAGAGGAAAGCUUGCUUUCCUUGUCGACGACCGGCGCACGGGUGAGUAACGAGUAUCCAACCUGCCCCCAACUAGGGAAUAACCUUGCGAAAGUAAGACUAAUACCCUAUAAUUUCCUCAGAUGUCAUCUGACGAGGAAUAAAGCUUUAUUGGUUGUGGAUGGGGAUGCGUCUGAUUAGCUUGUUGGCGGGGUAACGGCCCACCAAGGCAACGAUCAGUAGGGGUUCUGAGAGGAAGGUCCCCCACAUUGGAACUGAGACACGGUCCAAACUCCUACGGGAGGCAGCAGUGAGGAAUAUUGGUCAAUGGGCGGAAGCCUGAACCAGCCAAGUAGCGUGCAGGAUGACGGCCCUAUGGGUUGUAAACUGCUUUUAUACAGGAAUAAAGUUAGCCACGUGUGGUUAUUUGUAGGUACCUUAUGAAUAAGCACCGGCUAACUCCGUGCCAGCCGCCGCCGUAAGAC